AUGUAGGAAUAAGUAACGAUAAGGAGGGUUAGAUUCCCUCCCGCUGUAAGGCCAAGGUUUCCCGGGCAAUGCCAAUCAGCCCGGGGUCAGUCGGGUCCUAAGUCUAAGCCGAACGGCGAUGGCGAUGACAGAGACGGUUAAUAUUCCGUCACUGCCGCAUGGGGCGACGUGGAGACGGAGCAGUGAAACCACCGCGGGGCGACGGAAGUCCCCGUUGAAGAGUGUAGGCGUUGAGGAUGGCAGGCAAAUCCACCGUCCGAGCUGAACUUGAGAGUAUGGAGUCUUCUUCGGAAGAAUCCAAUAGUGUGGGUAAUCAUACUCCCGAGAAAAUCCGCUAAGCUUAACCCAUGCGGCACCCGUACCGCAAACGGACACACGUGGUCGGGUAGAACAUACUGAGGCGUUGAGAGAUUCAUGGUUAAGGAACUAGGCAAAUUGACCCUGUAACUUCGGGAUAAAGGGUCCUCGUGAAUAGCGAGGCGCAGAGAAUAGGUCCAGGCAACUGUUUAACAAAAACACAGGGCUGUGCAAACUCGAAAGAUGACGUAUACAGCCUGACACCUGCCCGGUGCCGGAAGGUUAAGAGGAGAUGUCACUCGCAAGAGGAAGCAUUGAAUUGAAGCCCCGGUAAACGGCGGCCGUAACAAUAACGGUCCUAAGGUAGCGAAAUUCCUUGUCGGGUAAGUUCCGACCUGCACGAAUGGUGUAAUGAUCCGGACGCUGUCUCAACCAUGAGCUCAGUGAAAUUGUAGUAUCGGUGAAGAUGCCGAUUACCCGCGAUGGGACGAAAAGACCCCGUGAACCUUUACUACAGCUUAGCAUUGACCUUGGUCAUCCGAUGUGUAGGAUAGGCCGGAGGCUUCGAAGCGGGAGCGCCAGCUUUCGUGGAGCCAUCCUUGAAAUACGGCCCUUUGGCUGUCUGAGGUCUAACGCGCGAUGCGCGGACACUGCUUGGUGGGUAGUUUGACUGGGGUGGUCGCCUCUAAAAGCGUAACGGAGGCUUCCAAAGGUGCCCUCGGGUCGAUUGGUAACCGACCUCAAAGAGUGCAAUGGCAUAAGGGCGCUUGACUGGGAGGCAGACAUGCCGAGCAGGCAGGAAACUGGGGCAUAGUGAUCCGGCGGAUGUGUAUGGAAACUCCGUCGCUCAAAGGAUAAAAGGUACUCCGGGGAUAACAGGCUGAUCCCCCCCAAGAGCUCAUAUCGACGGGGUGGUUUGGCACCUCGAUGUCGGCUCGUCACAUCCUGGGGCUGGAGAAGGUCCCAAGGGUUGGGCUGUUCGCCCAUUAAAGUGGCACGCGAGCUGGGUUCAGAACGUCGUGAGACAGUUCGGUCUCUAUCUAUCGUGGGCGUGGGAGUUUUGCGUGGUGCCGUCACUAGUACGAGAGGACCGUGAUGGACAGACCUCCGGUUUACCAGUUGUGCCGCCAGGCGCACCGCUGGGUAUCUGAGUCUGGAUUGGAUAAGCGCUGAAAGCAUCUAAGUGCGAAGCCAGCCGCAAGAUGAGAACUCCAUUGAGGGUCGUCAGAGACGAUGACGUUGAUAGGAUGCAGGUGUAAAGACAGCGAUGUCAAAGCCGAGCAUACUAA
rnacentral:rRNA from 1 species